rnacentral:rRNA from 1 species
CUCGUAGGCGGUUCGUCGCGUCCGGUGUGAAAGUCCAUCGCUUAACGGUGGAUCUGCGCCGGGUACGGGCGGGCUGGAGUGCGGUAGGGGAGACUGGAAUUCCCGGUGUAACGGUGGAGUGUGUAGAUAUCGGGAAGAACACCAAUGGCGAAGGCAGGUCUCUGGCCGUUACUGACGCUGAGGAGCGAAAGCGUGGGGAGCGAACA